AUCUAUGGCCAUACCACCCUGAAUGCUCUUGAUCUCGUCUGAUUGGAAGCUAAGCAGGGUUGGGCCUGGUUAGUACUUGGAUGGGAAGAAAAAAACAAAUCACCUAAAGGAAAGCCUAUCAGAAUUGUGUAAG
rfam:Cavia porcellus supercont2_47 genomic scaffold, whole genome shotgun sequence.